ensembl:lncRNA
GUGGUACCUCUCCAGAGAGCUGUGUGCCGUGCUAUCCUGGGUGUUUCUGUGCUAGCAUUGGUUUGAGUUCUCCAACAGGACCUUGUACUGAGGGAUUUUACUGCCCAGCAAACUUCAGCUCCUUCAGCCCCACAGCAUUUCUCUGCCCUAAGGGUCACUUCUGCCGGUCAGGAGCAGCCCACCCAACACCAUGCCCUGCUGGGGAAUACCAGCCAGCCAGGGGCUCUGCAUCCUGUAUUCCAUGCCAGAGGGGAUUCUACUGCCAGGAGAUGGUGGCUGGAGACCCCAAGAGCUGCCCACCACAUAUGUACUGUCCUACAGGCACACAGUUUCCUCAGACAUGUCCUGAAGGCACCUUUACUCUUCCAAAUAUGACUGGCCUCUGGAAUGAGAAGCAAUGCCUGCCUUGCUUACCUGGUCACUACUGCAGGUAAUGACCAUUUGUUUCUGAUGGUUUUUUCCUCAGCUUCCUAAGCAGCUCAACAUCCUUGUUUUGUGCUGAUCAGUCAACACCAAAUUUCUUUCUCUCUCUGCUCCAGGCAUGGACAGCUAGUGGGGAAAUGUGCUGCUGGAUACUUCUGUCUUGCUGGGAGCUCCCAGCCUACUCCACAGGGCCCUGGCUUUUCCUGGCGCUUUCUGUCUGGAUGCCAAUGGGGUCAGGCAUGUGCUGGGCUGUGUCCUGCAGGUGAGAAUGUUUGGAAGUGUCAUCACAGCAUGUAGAGAGUUGCUUCUAACCAAGUAGAGAACAUCUGUGAUCCUACAUAAUAUAUUACGAUACCCACUUAGAGGUUGUCAUGCUCAUUGGCGUUGUCUUCUUUAGUCAAAAGAUGUAAAAGAAGCUUGCUCAAUGAAAUAUGCCACCUUAAAUUUGUGGUGCCAGGCUGCUGGUCCAGAAAUGUCUGAAGGCUGUUGAUUUGGUUGUUGAAUCCCAGCAGCUGUGUAGAUGUUAAUCCUAUGACAGGAGAUGCUUCUUGAAUCAUUUUUUUCCCCCCCCACUAGAAGGCUUCUCUGUUUUACUUUCAUCCCUUCCCCAUCUAUUUCUGCAGGUUUCUACUGCCUGGAGGGCUCUGAGUUACCUAUACCAUGUCCUGCCAAUACUAUUAGGGAUGUUCCAGGGGCUGGGAAGAAGGAAGACUGCCUGCCCUGUCCACCAGGCCACUGGUGCAAAGCAGGAGACUCAGAGGCCACUCCGUGUCCCUCAGGGCACUAUUGCUUUGGAAGUAAUGGCAGUGACCAAGACGGUCUGUUGGCACCUCAGAAAUGCCCUCCCCAUACUUACCGCAAGCUCCCAGGAGCUCAGAGCCUGACGGAUUGCCAGCCAUGUCCUCCAGGCUAUCACUGUCCUCUAUCAGGUCUAACCAGUUUUGAGGAUUAUCCAUGCCCAUUGGGAUACUGGUGUCCUGGUACAGGGGAUGCUUUCUUUUGUCCACCUGGCACUUCCAGGGUCCAGCCUGGUGCAAAAUCAUUGGAAGAGUGUGAUCCCUGCUCAGCUGGCUACUAUUGCCCAGACCCAGCACAGACAGGGCUACCUAACACCCAAGGAGUACCUUGUGAGCCUGGCUAUGAGUGCCCAGCAGGUUCAGUCAAUCCAAAGCCUUGCAGGCCUGGCUCAUACUGCAGUGCUCUCACAGCUGUGCCCACAGUGUGCCCUGCUGGGUAUUACUGUCCUGAAGGCUCAUCAACAUACAAUAGCCCUGAGCAGCUAUGUGUGUUCCCCUAUUACUGUCCCCUGGGCAGUGCCCACCCGCUGCCCUGUGAAGGAGGAUACAUGGCCCUCAGCUCACCUGGGCUAAGAGAUUCCUUUGAGAAGUUCUGCAGGAUCUGUGAUGCAGGCAGUUAUCAUAACGACUCUUUCAUCUCUGCUCCCUGUCAGCCCUGCCCAGCAGGCUUCAUCUGCCCACAAGGCAGUGAGACUUACCACAAGAAGCCUUGUCCCAUUGGCUAUUACUGCCCUCCCCUGGCAUCUGCCCCUGUUCCCUGUCCCCCGGGGACCCAUGGGAGCAAUAGCUUGGCCAAGCAUAUAGAGGAUUGUCAGGCCUGUCCUGCUGGCACCUUCAAUCACCUUCCUGCUCAGGUUGCCUGCUUUCCCUGUGGCAGCUCCUCUUCAUCACAGCCAGGUGCUACCAGCUGUACCUGCCAUGGGCUGAACCGGGCUUUCCAGCACUCAGAUGCCUCCUGUAUCUGCCAGGCAGGUUAUAUUUACUAUGAUGAGCGAGGCAAGGAAAACUCUGACAGCAACAGUGACCAGGACUGCCGACCUCAGGUGGACGAGCUCUGUGCUCCUGGAGAGGUCCGUUUAGCAUCGACACGCCGGUGUGUUUUUCCUGAGCAAUAUGACUGCUCUCCAUCUUGUGGGCCUGCGGGUGGAGAGGUUAAUGCAGAGCUGGGCAUAUGUCACUGCAAGCAGUACGUCUCUGCUGAGGAGCUCUGUGACCAAAUGUGUUUGCUGAGAGCCCCACGGAUCUCUUUGGGAUUUGGCAUCAAGAGAGAGCUGCUGCUGAGGAUGGACGAGGGAGUCAGGGAAGUGACAAAUGUUCUGGGCCCGGAUGAACAUGUACAGAAGAGCCAGAGGGUGCAUUUGGCUCUGUUUAAUCCCAGUGGAGUGUUAGGUUUUGUCGUCUCCAGCGUGGAUGUCUUGGAUGCAUUUCUCUUAGGAGAUUUUUCAUCAGAUCAGUUGGUGCAGAAAAGUCAUCGAGUCCAGAGGGCUUCCUUGAAAGAUAUGCCCACCUUGCCCCUCGUCCCUAACCCAGUGGUAUGUUUGGAAGCAGGAGACACGAUCCUUUUCCAGCUUAGCAUCAAUUCUCACAAUCGUGCAUCCAGCCACUAUCCUGUUUAUCAGAAGCAACAUCUUUAUAACAGCAACCCUAGCUGGGAUUAUGGACCCUUCCGAAGGCUGGACCACCUCAUCCAGGAGACUCAGCUCAACAUCUCCUGGUAA